rnacentral:rRNA from 1 species
UAGAGUUUGAUCAUGGCUCAGAUUGAACGCUAGCGGGAGGCUUAACACAUGCAAGUCGAGGGGUAACAGGGAAGCUUGCUUCCGCUGACGACCGGCGCACGGGUGCGUAACGCGUAUGCAACCUGCCUUAUACAGAGGGAUAGCCUGGAGAAAUUCGGAUUAAUACCUCAUAAUAUUGAGAGUUCGCAUGAACUUUUAAUUUAAACUCAGGUGGUAUAAGAUGGGCAUGCGUGACAUUAGAUAGUUGGUGAGGUAACGGCUCACCAAGUCCACGAUGUCUAGGGGUCCUGAGAGGGUGAUCCCCCACACUGGUACUGAGACACGGACCAGACUCCUACGGGAGGCAGCAGUGAGGAAUAUUGGUCAAUGGAUGGAAGUCUGAACCAGCCAUCCCGCGUACAGGAAGACGGCCUUAUGGGUUGUAAACUGCUUUUAUAUACCAAGAAACCUGUCUACGUGUAGGCAGCUGACGGUAGUAUAUGAAUAAGCAUCGGCUAACUCCGUGCCAGCAGCCGCGGUAAUACGGAGGAUGCGAGCGUUAUCCGGAUUCAUUGGGUUUAAAGGGUGCGUAGGCGGUUUAUUAAGUCAGUGGUGAAAUCUUACGGCUCAACCGUGAAACUGCCAUUGAUACUGGUAGACUUGAGAACAGAUGAAGUAGGCGGAAUAUGUCAUGUAGCGGUGAAAUGCUUAGAUAUGACAUAGAACACCGAUAGCGAAGGCAGCUUACUAAGCUGUUUCUGACGCUGAUGCACGAAAGC